rnacentral:rRNA from 1 species
ACUUACCAACCCGAUGCAAACUACGAAUACCGAAGAAUGUUAUCACGGGAGACACACGGCGGGUGCUAACGUCCGUCGUGAAGAGGGAAACAACCCAGACCGCCAGCUAAGGUCCCAAAGUCAUGGUUAAGUGGGAAACGAUGUGGGAAGGCACAGACAGCCAGGAUGUUGGCUUAGAAGCAGCCAUCAUUUAAAGAAAGCGUAAUAGCUCACUGGUCGAGUCGGCCUGCGCGGAAGAUGUAACGGGGCUAAACCAUGCACCGAAGCUGCGGCAGCGACACUAUGUGUUGUUGGGUAGGGGAGCGUUCUGUAAGCCGUUGAAGGUGGCCUGUGAGGGUUGCUGGAGGUAUCAGAAGUGCGAAUGCUGACAUAAGUAACGAUAAAGCGGGUGAAAAGCCCGCUCGCCGGAAGACCAAGGGUUCCUGUCCAACGUUAAUCGGGGCAGGGUGAGUCGACCCCUAAGGCGAGGCCGAAAGGCGUAGUCGAUGGGAAACAGGUUAAUAUUCCUGUACUCGGUGU